CUGAGACCACAUUAGCUUUCUGCCACUGCGACAGACGUGUGAGAAGUCUGACGUGGGCCUCAGGGUGCCGGCAGGGCCAGGCUCCUUCUGGAGACAGUAAAGAUGGCCCACUCCUUGUUCAUACAGCAGUGUUGGCUGGAGGUCACCCUAACUGCUGAGGGCUGCCCACCCUCCUCACUCUGUUCCCCUUCCUGGUCAUCAAAGACAUCAAGGGCCCUGAGCAUAUUAGACAAGCCCACAAGACCCAUCUUUGUGGGUUUAUGGGAUACUAGCCAGGCUGCUGGACAGACCUGCCAUCCCACAUACCUGGCACAAGAGGACAGAGUCUCCAAGAGGCAGUAUGCAGAUGUCCAGCUGCUUACAUGAGGAGGGAAGAGCUGAGAGUAGCCCAGGUCCACUUCUGGACCUGGAGGGCCCAGGCCUGGCCAGGGAGUCUGUAGUCAUGGAUCAAAACCACUACAAAAGUAGCUUCCUUGUCCCUCACAGUCAGGGGGAUCCCUGAUCCUGGACUUCCACGUGGUCUCUGGUGUCAGCAUAACCUCCGGUGGCAGAGCAGACCACAGACAUCAACACGAACAUGGCCACAUUUAAUGAUUCUCCUUCCUCUGCUUCAUCUGUUUAGCUGUCCUGUUGAGGACUGUGGCUGAGCCUGGUGUGUUUGUCCUUCAAGUGUGAGCUCCUCUUCUCUGCUUGUUCCUUGAAUAAAAUCCCUCACCUGCACC
ensembl:antisense Lyzl4os uncharacterized LOC110302034